rnacentral:rRNA from 1 species
GAUGAACGCUGGCGGCGUGCCUAAUACAUGCAAGUCGAGCGAACGGACGAGAAGCUUGCUUCUCUGAUGUUAGCGGCGGACGGGUGAGUAACACGUGGAUAACCUACCUAUAAGACUGGGAUAACUUCGGGAAACCGGAGCUAAUACCGGAUAAUAUUUUGAACCGCAUGGUUCAAAAGUGAAAGACGGUCUUGCUGUCACUUAUAGAUGGAUCCGCGCUGCAUUAGCUAGUUGGUAAGGUAACGGCUUACCAAGGCAACGAUGCAUAGCCGACCUGAGAGGGUGAUCGGCCACCUCGGAACGGACAACCGGUCCAAACCCCAAGGGGGGGCAGCAGUGGGGAAUUUUCCCAAAUGGGGAAAAGCCGGAGGGGGAAACGCCGGGGGGGGAAUAAAGGUUUUCGGAUCGUAAAACUCUGUUAUUGGGGAAAAAAAAAUGGGAAAGAAACUGUGCACAUCUUGACGGUACCAAAACAAAAAGCCACGGCUAACUACGG